UUAGGUUGAUCCGCUGAAUUUAAGCAUAUCACUAAGCGGAGGAAAAGAAACUAACCAGGAUUCCCUUAGUAACGGCGAGUGAAGAGGGAAGAGCCCAGCACCGAAGCCUGUGGUUGUUUGAUCAUAAGGCAAUGUGGUGUUUAGGUUUGUCGACGGAAUUACUGCUCCACUCCAAGUCCAGUCUUGAGCAUGGUUUACAGACAUGGCCCACAGAGGGUGUAAGGCCCGUGGGAGUGGAGACUUCGGCAGUAGUUUCUCGGGCGAACCUUGGAGUCGGGUUGUUUGAGAAUGCAGCCCAAAGCGGGUGGUAAACUCCAUCCAAGGCUCAAUACUGACACGAGUCCGAUAGCGCACAAGUACCGUGAGGGAAAGUUGAAAAGAACUCUGAAGAGAGAGUGAACAGUACGUGAAACCGCUCAGAGGUAAACGGAUAGAGUUGAACUGCAAGCCCGUGGAGAUUCAGCUAGCAAGUAUGACCGUGUGGCCAACGUGUGUGUCUGCAUUAUAGCGGGUCAGGUCUUCGGACUUUGAUUGGCAAUGCACUUAUGAUGUGUUGUUUGCACUCGCGUUUUGGUGGCCAGCUUGUUAGUGCACUUUUUCCGGGUGUUCAUCACGACCGACGCGUGGCCUGUCUGCUGUGACCAAACCAGCAAGUUUCGUGUCCUUGUGGCUCAAGCUUGUUGGGAUGGCAGGUAGCUUGUCGGCCUUCGGGCCUUCAAGUGUAAUAGCCGGUUGCAGUGGAGCUGUGCUGUGUGUCGGCGACGGCGGUCU
rnacentral:rRNA from 1 species